UGAUGUGGUUUAAUUCGAUGCAACGCGAAAACCUUACCACCUUUGACAUGUACGGAACCUUUAGAGAUAGAGGGUGCUCGAAAGAGAGCCGUAACACAGGUGCUGCAUGGCUGUCGUCAGCUCGUGUCGUGAGAUGUUGGGUUAAGUCCCGCAACGAGCGCAACCCUUGUCAUUAGUUGCUACAUUCAGUUGGGCACUCUAAUGAGACUGCCGGUGACAAGCCGGAGGAAGUGGGGAUGACGUCAAGUCCUCAUGGCCCUUAUAGGUGGGGCUACACACGUCAUACAAUGGCUGGUACAAAGGGUUGCCAACCCGCGAGGGGGAGCCAAUCCCAUAAAGCCAGUCGUAGUCCGGAUCGUAGUCUGCAACUCGACUACGUGAAGUCGGAAUCGCUAGUAAUCGUGGAUCAGAAUGUCACGGUGAAUACGUUCCCGGGUCUU
rnacentral:rRNA from 1 species